rnacentral:miRNA from 1 species
UUAUACCCAUCUCUCACCUUGCAA